rnacentral:rRNA from 1 species
AUUGAACGCUGGCGGCAGGCCUAACACAUGCAAGUCGAGCGGUUACAGGGAGCUUGCUCCUGCUUUCCUCGGCGGUCGGGUGCGUGAUGCCUAUGACUCUGCCUCUUCGUGGUGGAUAACGUUCGCAAACGGGCGCUGUUACCGCUUCCGUCUUGUGUCGCAAAGUCGGGGAUCUUCGGCUCUCACGCUCUCGGCUUCGCCUAGGUCGGAUUAGCUAGUUGGUGGGGCAAAGGCCUACCAAGGCGACGAUCCGUAUCUGGUCUGAGAGGAUGAUCAGGCACACUGGAACUGAGACACGGUCCAGACUCCUACGGGAGGCAGCAGUGGGGAAUAUUGGACAAUGGGCGAAAGCCUGAUGCAGCCAUGCCGCGUGUGUGAAGAAGGUCUUCGGAUUGUAAAGCACUUUAAGUUGGGAGGAAGGGAAGUAAGUUAAUACCUUGCUGUAUUGACGUUACCAACAGAAGAAGCACCGGCUAACUCCGUG